rnacentral:rRNA from 1 species
GAAUUGCGAUAAGUAAUGUGAAUUGCAGAUUUCCAGUGAAUCAUCGAAUCUUUGAACGCACCUUGCGCUCCUUGGUAUUCCGAGGAGCAUGCCUGUUUGAGUGUCAUUGAGUUCUCAACCGUGUCUCGGUCGAUUUUCGAGUACCACGGCUUGGAGAUGGGGGCUGCCGGGCCAUUUCUGGCUCAGCUCUCCUGAAAUGCAUUAGCAAAAUGGGUGGCCAAGUCUUUGGACGUGCACGGCCUCUGGCGUGAUAAUGAUCGUCGUGGCUGGAGCGUCUGAGAUGGCAAUAUAUUGUAAGCCCAUUGGCUUCUAAUGAGAAAGAAAAAGGACGGAGAUGGGAAGGUGAUCCUUGCUCAGUCAAGCUUAGCUAUUAGCUGGAGUGUCCUAAUCCUGGAACUCUGGCGAACGCGCGGCAGGGGACAGACUUGGGGAACGGACGAUCUCUGAUCUAACGCUUUCACAUUGAAACUUGACCUCAAAUCAGGUAGGACUACCCGCUGAACUUAA